CAGUCGACGGUAAUACGGAGGAUCCAAGCGUUAUCCGGAAUCAUUGGGUUUAAAGGGUCCGUAGGCGGUCUUGUAAGUCAGUGGUGAAAGCCCAUCGCUCAACGGUGGAACGGCCAUUGAUACUGCAGGACUUGAAUUAUUGGGAAGUAACUAGAAUAUGUAGUGUAGCGGUGAAAUGCUUAGAGAUUACAUGGAAUACCAAUUGCGAAGGCAGGUUACUACCAAUUGAUUGACGCUGAUGGACGAAAGCGUGGGUAGCGAACAGGAUUAGAUACCCCAGUAGUCCCUGUCUCUUAUACAC
rnacentral:rRNA from 1 species